CAUGACAUUGGUUGAUGUAUCUCUUAUCUCUCUCUUUUUUUAAAAAAUCUUUGCAUUAUGGAAAGUUUCAAACAUAUACAAAGCAAACAGAAUAAUGUAUGUACUCUAUAUCUAGCUUCAACAAUGAUCAAUUGUCUAUCACUCUUACAUCAUCUAUACCUUCACCCACUCCCCAACUCAAUUGUUAUUUUUAACAGCUUUUUUUGAAGUAACGUGUAUUAGUUGUACAACUUUGACAAAUGGAUAUACUAAUGUAACCCACAAUGCUAUCAUGAACACAGGACAUUUUCAUCUCUCCAGAAGAUUGUCUCGUGUCUCUUACUCUUUCAGAGGCAAUCAGUGUUUUGAUUUUGUUUAACCUUAGAUUAGUGACUGUUCCACAACUUUAUACUCUUUUACAUCCAGCUGCUUCUCACUAUAAUAUCUGUGAGAUUUAUUCAUGUUGUUGGAUUAGUUUGUUUCUUUUCAUUGCUAUAACUACUACAAUAUAUUUAUUCUGUUGAGCUUAUUUAACACAUGUAUUUUCUCUAUAAGGCACAUCGCAGUCUUUUUGUGAUUAGGGACCCUAGGCAGCACUUUAUCACUACGCUCGAGAGUCAUUUUAAACAGUGAAAUCACCAACAAAAAGCAAAAAACAUGGCACUAAAUAGACUGCAAAAAAGAUGUUUAUUUACAGUAUGAGAGCUGAAACAAGUGGGUAGAGAGCACGACCUCAUCUGAGAACAUAUGCAUCAGGUGACUCAAUUUUUGGCCACUCUGUGAGUGUCCAUGAAUGACCACAACAGUAUUGAUUUUGAGGUUAUGAAUACCUUUUAGCGAUCAGGCAAAUUCACGAAUACUGAAUUCAUUAAUGAUGAGUAGCAACUGUACAUAUGUGUAUCAGCAUAUGUACAGAUGGUCCCUGACUUAUGAUGGCUUAACACAUGAUUUUUUAACGUUAUGGUGGUGUGAAAGCUAUACACAUUCAGUAGAGACCAUACUUUGAAUUUAAUAUCAACAAGUGUCUCUGCCCCAGUGCCUUCUACCAAUGAUUCUCCAGCCUCAUCAGAAGAGAGACAAAUUGAUGACCCUGUUGAUGUAGCAUCCUCAUCAUCCAGCAAUUAAUUUUAGUUCAAUACUUCAAACAUUCUUGAGGCCCAGUGUACUUUCAGCUGUGUGUGUUAAUGAUUCUAACAUCUAUUGUGUGUUAACUAUGUGUGAGGGAUAAUUCCACAAG
rnacentral:lncRNA from 1 species